rnacentral:tRNA from 1 species
CUAAGGAUGGUUCUUCAGAAGCUUGCUUCUAUUGAACCGUUUUAGAAACAUCAGUGGCCAACGGUCGUCAGGAUCGUUGAGCUGCAUUGGCGGGAUUUCGCCGUCUUCGUUUCUCUUUCUUCGCGGACGAACACGCGCUGGGGCUGCAACCUUGCAGAAUCCCUGGUCCUUGACUGGAUAUGCGUUAGGGGCUUGUAGCUCAGUUGGUUAGAGCGCGCGCUUGAUAAGCGUGAGGUCGGAAGUUCAAGUCUUCCCAGGCCCACCACACUCAUCGAGUGAGCAUUCGUCUUCUGGUUACGGGGCCAUAGCUCAGCUGGGAGAGCGCGUGCUUUGCAAGCAUGAGGUCGUCGGUUCGAUCCCGUCUGGCUCCACCAGAUGGUUUGAUCACCGGCUGCUCAUACCGUCGUCCGCGAAACAUCACUUCGCACUUACUAGUCCGGAUGGACAGUAAGCUGCGUGAUUUCUGACAUCGUAAAGAGGAGAUCGAUCCGAGUUGGAUCGGGCAACAAGUAAUUGUUGCGCGAUACUUCAUUAUCUCCGGAUCAUUUCGGCGCUCGUGCGUCUUCCAUUGUAGCUCACAAGGCUGCUUUGAAAGACAAGCGAGUUGUAAAUGAUCCUUUUAGCGAAGCUUGACCGCCUCGCUAUCGGAACGAUCUUACGAAGCAAGCUGGUCUUUCUAAUCAUUGUCCGGCUGCAGAUAGCGUUCAUCGAGGGCGCGUGCCGCAAGGUAGUUCUGCAGACAACAUUCUGCCGAGUGUGUGGACAUUGAUAAUGAGAGC